rnacentral:rRNA from 1 species
AACGUAGGAGGCGAGCGUUAUCCGGAUUUACUGGGCGUAAAGGGUGUGCAGGCGGGCCGUUAAGUGGUGCAUGAAAGCCGAGGGCUCAACCUUCGGAGGCUGUGCCAGACUGGCGGGCUAGAGUGCGGGAGAGGGCUGUGGAAUUCCGGGUGUAGUGGUGAAAUGCGUAGAGAUCCGGAGGAACACCAGAGGCGAAGGCGGCAGCCUGGUCCGCAACUGACGCUGAGACACGACAGCAUGGGGAG